AGUGAACGCUGGCGGUAGGCCUAACACAUGCAAGUCGAACGGCAACACCGUAAGAGCUUGCUCUUACGGGUGGCGAGUGGCGGACGGGUGAGGAAUACAUCGCAAUCUACUUUUUCGUGGGGGGUAACGUAGGGAAACUUACGCUAAUACCGCCUACGACCUACGGGUGAAAGCACGAGAUCUUCGGACCUUGCGCGAUGGCAUGAGCCGAUGUCGGAUUAGUUAGCUGGCGGGGUAAAGGCCCACCAAGGCGACGAUCCGUCGCUGGUCUGAGAGGAUGAUCAGCUACACUGGAACUGAGACACGGUCCAGACUCCUACGGGAGGCAGCAGUGGGGUAUAGUGGACAAUGGGCGCAAGCCUGAUCCAGCCAUGCCGCGUGGGUGAAGAAGGCCUUCGGGUUGUAGAGCCCUUUUGUUGUGAAAGAAAAGCAGCAGGUGAAUACCCCGCUGUUCUGACGGUACCCAAAGAAUAAGCACCGGCUAACUUCGUG
rnacentral:rRNA from 1 species